rnacentral:rRNA from 1 species
GCUACGGGUGGCAGCAGUGAGGAAUAUUGGUCAAUGGGCGCGAGCCUGAACCAGCCAAGUAGCGUGAAGGAUGACUGCCCUACGGGUUGUAAACUUCUUUUGUCGGGGAGCAAAAGACGCCACGCGUGGCGUUCCGAGAGUACCCGAAGAAAAAGCAUCGGCUAACUCCGUGCCAGCAGCCGCGGUAAUACGGGGGAUGCGAGCGUUAUCCGGGUUUCUUGGGUUUAACGGGUGCGCAGGCGGAAGAUAAAGUCAGCGGUAAAAUUGGGAGGCUCAACCUCCUCGAGCAGUUGAGACUGGUUUUCUUGAGUGAGUGAGAAGUAUGCGGAAUGCGUGGUGUAGCGGUGAAAUGCAUAGAUAUCACGAAGAACUCCGAUUGCGAAGGCAGCAUACCGGCGCUCAACUGACGCUCAUGCACGAAAGUGUGGGUAUCGAACAGGAUUAGAUACCCCUGUAGUC